ensembl:antisense Zfp335os zinc finger protein 335, opposite strand
GUUUCCGCUCAGGCAAAUGCGAGAGCGGCUAAAGGGCCUGGGACCCCGGGGCCCUGUUCGGACAGCCCCGCCGGCCCGGGAGUCCGCCACCCGGCAGCCUCGCGGCAGGGCCCCGGUGCACGGCAGUGUGCGGAGGGGCAGCCCGCCUCCGGCUGCCGCUAACCUGAGCCUCUGGCUGCUGUGUCGCUCUCCGACUCCGGCAUCGACGAGGUCGCCAUCCUCUCACCCCCGUCGCGGAGGAACCCAUCGGCCGCCCUCGAACCGGAACUACUUCCGCCGCCGUCCCCCCGGGAGAGAGAGAUCUGCGGGGUUUCAGAAGGCCUCUCGGAGGACUCAGAGCCGUCGUCGGGUCCAGGAGGACUCUAGAAGUCACAUGCUGCCCGGUGUUAGGGCUGAGAUCUGGGAGAGCGUCUGGAAGAACAAAGGCAACAGAAAGGAAGAAUGACUGCAGAUGCGCUCAUGGCUGGGGCUUCAUAUCCCAGAAGCCAUAUACUGAUAAGUGGAAAACCCAGUGCCAGGGUGGGCUACCUCUAUACAUUUCUGGACGCGGAGUCUUCUGAGGCCUCCAAAACCAUAAAAGCUGAUGUCAUGUACUAGAUAGUUUUUUGUCAACACAAGCUAAAGUCAUCUGAGAGGAAGGAACCUCAGAUAACAUUUCUCCAUGCACUGAGCUGUACAGCAGCUUGUUGGGAAUUUUCUUAACUAGUGAUUAAUGUGGGGAGGGCCCAGCCCAUUGUAUAUGGUGCUAUCCCUGGGCUGGUGGUCCUGGUUCUAGCAGAAAGCAGAUUGAGCAAGCAAUGGGGAGCAAGCCAGUAAGCAACACCCCUCCAUGGCCUCUGCAUCAGCCCCUGACCUGUUUGAGUUCCUGCUCUGACUUGUAUGUAUGUAUGUAUGUAUGUAUGUAUGUAUGUAUGUAUGUAUGUAUAUAUGUAUAUAUUUAUGAGUACUCUGCCACAUGCCAGAAGGGGGCAUCAGAUCCCCUUUUAGAUGGUUGCCGGCCACCGUGUGGUUGCUGGAAAUUGAACUCAGGACCCCUGAAGGAGCAACCAGUGUUCCUCACUGCUGAGCCAUCUCCCCAGGCUCUGCCCUGACUUUCUUUGAUGAUGAACAACAGUGUGGUGUAAACCAAAUAAACUUUCUCCUCCC